UUAAGAAACAAAGAGUGUACGGUGGAUGCCUUGGCACUAGGAGGCGAUGAAGGACGCGACGAACAGCGAAAUGCUACGGGGAGUUGUAAGUGAACAGAGAUCCGUAGGUAUCCGAAUGGGGCAACCCGGCAACUGGAAGAGUUGUCAUCCCUAAGUGAAUACAUAGCUUAGGUGAAGCGAACGCAGUGAACUGAAACAUCUUAGUAGCUGCAGGAAAAGAAAGCAAUAGCGAUUCCCCAAGUAGAGGCGAUUGAAAAGGGAACAGCCCGUCGUCAUACGAGUUACAAAUUCUUAAUAUAGCUGAAGUGGAUGGGAAGCCACACAACACAAGGUGAUAGUCCUGUAAGUUAAAUAUUAAGAACUCAGACGACAAAGAGUAGGGCGGGGCACGUGGAAUCCUGUCUGAAUAUGCGAGGACCAUCUCGUAAGGCUAAAUACUACCUAGUGACCGAUAGUGAACCAGUACCAUGAGGGAAAGGUGAAAAGAACCCUUGGCAGGGAGUGAAAAGAACCUGAAACCGUAUACUUACAAUUAGUUAAAGCCCCUUAUGUGGGUGAUAGCGUGCCUUUUGUAGAAUGAACCGGCGAGUUACGAUAACGUGCAAGGUUAAGUUUUUAGGAACGGAGCCGUAGCGAAAGCGAAUCUUAAUAGGGUGUUUAGUAAGUUGUCGUAGACCCGAAACCGGGUGAUCUAGCCAUGAGCAGGUUGAAGCUUGGGUAAAACCAGGUGGAGGACCGAACCAGGUACUGUUGCAAUAGUAUUGGAUGACUUGUGGCUAGGGGUGAAAUUCCAAUCGAACUCGGAUAUAGCUGGUUCUCCCCGAAAUACCUCUAGGGGUAGCGUUGUAAUUUAAGUUUUAUGGAGGUAAAGCUCUGAAUGUGUGAGGGUCCCACCUCGGGAUACCAAUCACAAUCAAACUGGGAAUGCUAUAAAAUAUGUACAGCAGUCAGACUACGAGUGAUAAGGCCCGUGGUCAAAAGGGAAACAGCCCAGACCGUCAGCUAAGGUCCCUAAAUUUAUGCUAAGUGGGAAAGGAUGUGGAGUUGUCUAAACAACCAGGAUGUUGGCUCAGAAGCAGCCAUCAUUUAAAGAGUGCGUAAUAGCUCACUGGUCGAAUGAUUCUGCGCCGAAAAUGUAUCGGGGCUAAGCAUAAUACCGAAGCUACGGAAACUACUAUAGUUUGGUAGGGGAGCGUACUUAAUGCGGUGAAGUAUGACCGGAAGGACAUAUGGAGCAUUAAGCAGUGAGAAUGCCGGUGUGAGUAACGAAAAGACUGGUGAGAAUCCAGUCCGUCGAAAGCCUAAGGUUUCCAGGGGAAGGGUCGUCCUCCCUGGGUUAGUCGGGUCCUAAGGUGAGGCUGAAAGGCGUAGCCGAUGGACAACAGGUUGAUAUUCCUGUACCACCUUAAUAACAGAUGGAAUGACGAAGGAGGCUAGUUGGAUAACAUUUAGUGGAUUAUGUUCUAAGCAUAAAGAGGUGUAUAUAGGCAAAUCCGUAUACUUUAACCUUGAAGUGUGAUGGGUAAAAUCUGACGAAGCCAAACUUCCAAGAAAAGUUUCUAAGGUUAAUUAUUGGGGUGCCCGUACCGUAAACGGACACACGUGGGCGAGGAGAGAAUCCAUAGACGCGCGAGAAAACUCUUGUUAAGGAACUCUGCAAAAUUACCCUGUAACUUCGGGAUAAAGGGGACUCUCAAUGAGAGUCGCAGAUAAUAGGCCCAAGCGACUGUUUAUCAAAAACAUAGGUUUCUGCUAAAUCGCAAGAUGAAGUAUAGGAGCUGACGCCUGCCCAGUGCUGGAAGGUUAAGAUGAGGUGUUAGGAGCAAUCCGAAGCAUUGAUUUGAAGCCCCAGUAAACGGCGGCCGUAACUAUAACGGUCCUAAGGUAGCGAAAUUCCUUGUCGGGUAAGUUCCGACCCGCACGAAAGGCG
rnacentral:rRNA from 1 species